rnacentral:lncRNA from 1 species
UUUCUUUUUUUUUCUUUUAGCAAUGGAAUGUGCUUCACAGGGAAUUGAUAGAUGUGAGGACUAGGUGGUUCAACUAAAGCAUUGGAGGUGCAAGUCAUACGCCUGAAAGGAAUCUGAAGAACACAAUUAAAGAAUAAAUACUCGAGUUAAAUCUUUUUAUGUGACUUGGCCAUCCAGUAGCCAAAAUGGAGCAUGGACGCACAAAUAUUUACAAUGACACACAGACAAGAUCAGCAAGAACAAAGUCAUUACCCAACAUGUUGAUUGAUUUAGGGGGAUCGCGUCAUCCCCAAAUCCACAUGGGAUUAUGACAACAAACUGGAUCCUUGCUACAAUAUCAAUGUUUUAUUCUUUCUUAAAUAAAUAAUCUUUACUGUGCUUCUCACCUUUCCCUGACUUUCCCACUGCCCUAUUCCUACCUCAGGACAUUUUUGAAUCAACAUUCAAAAAUGUGCCCACAAAUGUCUCAGGGCACACUAGCAAUGUUAAAGGUCUGGACAGCCUCAUCUGUAUUAAGAUGAGCUCAAAACAAAUCAAGGAAAGGGAAUAAACUAUCAACCAUCUGGAGGCUACUUUGUUCGAGUAUAGCAAGUAUGGACCCUUCAGCAUCAUUUUGGCAUGAGAAAAAGUUUCUCUCUAAUACUUAUUAGAAAUAUAUGUAACUUUUCAACACAAGUAAAAGACUGUAGAAGCUGUUCUCAUUGGAACAUGUACACAGGUAUAAUUUUGUACGAGUACUGCCUACUAGAACAGACUAUUAAACCUCGGUACAGAAUGAUGGGAAAUAAGUACCUGGCCCUUCACUGUUAAUAGGCUGAGUGGAGAGCAUCAGGAGCAGCCAUUUCUCUGCCAACAGAGACCUGAAGGACCACAGCUCCAGGGUCUUCUAAAUAAGGAUAACAACAAUAGCAACAACAACAACAGCAACAACAACAACAACAACAACAGCAACAGCAACAGCAGCAACAACAACAAAGGCCUUUACAACAUGCAGAGGAUGUUAAUUGAUGUCUUGGACUUCCCAGCCAGGGUGUGGGUUCUCUCUAUUAGCAGAGCACAGUCAUCAAUCGAUUGAAUUCUGUUUACAUCCCAGGAAUUUGUGGAAUUCCCUGGCACUACAAGUGGGAAAAAUCCUUCAUUUAAAAUAAAAUAGAAUAAAAAACUUAAUGUUCUUUCUCUCUCACUAGAGAGGUGUGACAUUUAAAAUGUCAGGCCCAAAUAUCUCUUUGCAAAAUAAGCUUGAAAUUAAUAUAAUCAUUUGAUUUUUCUCUUCACAUUUGUUUUUUAUUCCACGGUGGAUAUUUUCAGGGAAGGGUAAGCCCCUCCUUAAUUUUAUAAUGUAGGAAAAUAGGAAAUCCACCAGUGGUACCAUCUCUCAACAUAAACAUUGUACUAUAUGAUCAGCAGAAACUCUAGAGAAAGUGCUUUCAUUUGAAGGAAUGGAUGGAUGCUUAAAUGGACAGAUGGCCCUCACAGAGAAGAGAGGCAGAUGCCACUCAUUUUGUUCCCCUCUCGCUGAAUGUAGGGAAAGUCUAUUCAGUUUCUCUAAUUCUAAAAAAAUUAAGAAAUGCGUAUAACAUAGAUUGUUGGCUUUUCAAAGGCUUAGAGAAACAACUUUCUAGAAUUCAUACAACCGACUACACACUCAAAAGAGACAUAUCCUUUUCUAUGCAGACACCUUCCAGAUGUUUUUUUUUACACUCAGAAGAUUAGCUAAUAAAUUUUUAAUAAAUACAAAUAGUGAAAUAAUAGUCAAAUUUUGGAAUUAUUUUUCAAGCCACAAAAAGAAUUCCGUUGGGAAAUAUGAGUACAGAUAAAAAUUAUUUUUUCAGUGAAUUUCCAACAUUUUUAUGAACAUGCUUUUAAAGGGCAAAAGCCCAAGUAACUAAAUAAGAACAUACCAUAGUCAAAUACCAAAAAAAAAAAAAAAAAAGAGAUUGGAGAUAUGUAGAAAAAUCAGUUUCAAGUAUUUAGAGCCAAGUGUUGACUGGGAUGUAGCUUUCAUUGACUUUCCAUUCCUUAAAGAGUUGAAUACUUUACUACAUCUCUGAUCUCUAGAUCUUUAAAAUCUUUAAAAAAUUCUUAUGCGUUACAAAUUGCCAAAAUGAAUAUUUUCAUCAUGAAGAACAUCGGCUAAUGGAUCUAUUUCCUCAGAAUGUGCCUAUUGUACAAUGCCUAUGUUACAGGAGCACAAGAGAGGACUAAAUUCACCAUCUUCGCUUAUUUACUGCCCAAUGAGGAGUUCUGCAUUUUCCUUUUGGCUCUCAGAGAAAGUCCCAUCUUUGUGUAAGUAAGGUUUCUCCCAUCAGGAUAUCCUAGGUUUAGGACCUGGACUCACCCAGCAGCGCUGCCACAUUUUCAGUGUGUCCUUUCUCUGUUAUCACAGAGGCCAACGAGCUGCUUCACAUGACAAUUCAACUACUCCAUUAGCAUCCAUGCGAAAUGUGACAGGAUCUCACAAUUAGAGCUUUGUUUUGACUCCUAUUCCUCCUGUUUUCGGAAAAAUGUCUUAAAGGAAACCUUCUCCAAUACAAAUGCAGAAAAAUAGGUACACAAACCAAGCCACCACUACAGAAGAAUAAAAACUUGCGACUCGAUUAGGGCAUGGACGUCCACGGCUUCACACGGCACUUGUUCUAUUUUUUUUUUUUCGUUUUUGUUUGUUUUUUGUUUUGUUUUUUUUUCUUUGCUUUUUUGCUUUCUUUUUUUUAAAAAAAACA